UACGGAGGGUGCAAGCGUUGCUCGGAAUCAUUGGGCGUAAAGCGUACGCAGGCUGUUCGUUAAGUCGGGUGUGAAAGCCCAGGGCUCAACCCUGGAAUGGCGCCCGAAACUGGCGAGCUUGAGUGCGGGAGAGGUAAGCGGAAUUCCUGGUGUAGCGGUGAAAUGCGUAGAUAUCAGGAGGAACACCUGUGGUGUAGACAGCUUACUGGACCACUUCUGACGCUGAGACACGAAAGCGUGGGUAGCAAACAGG
rnacentral:rRNA from 1 species